GCAAACUUGGUCAUUUAGAGGAAGUAAAAGUCGUAACAAGGUUUCCGUAGGUGAACCUGCGGAAGGAUCAUUAUCGAAUUGCAAUUGGGGGAUGUUGCUGGCCUUCAAUGGGCAUGUGCACUCCUCCUAAUUCAAAUCCACCUGUGCACAUUGAGUAGGCGCGGAUUCAAUUCUGUUGCCUAUGUUUUUUCAAUACACACCUGUGAAAGAUUGUAUGAUCAUGUAAUUAACAAUUACAACUUUCAACAAUGGAUCUCUUGGUUCUCGCAUCGAUGAAGAACGCAGC
rnacentral:misc_RNA from 1 species